GAUGAACGCUGGCGGCGUGCCUAAUACAUGCAAGUCGAGCGAACGGACGAGAAGCUUGCUUCUCUGAUGUUAGCGGCGGACGGGUGAGUAACACGUGGAUAACCUACCUAUAAGACUGGGAUAACUUCGGGAAACCGGAUCUAAUACCGGAUAAUAUUUUGAACCGCAUGGUUCAUAAGUGCAAGACGGUUCUGCUGUCACUUAUAGAUGGAUCCGCGCUGCAUUAGCUAGUUGGUAAGGUAACGGCUUACCAAGGCUACGAUGCAUAGCCGACCUGAGAGGGUGAUCAGCCACACUGGAACUGAGACACGGUCCAGACUCCUACGGGAGGCAGCAGUAGGGAAUAUUGCGCAAUGGGCGAAAGCCUGACGGAGCAACGCCGCGUGAGUGAUGAAGGUCUUCGGAUCGUAAAACUCUGUUAUUAGGGAAGAACAUAAGUGUGAGUAACUGUGCACAUCUUGACGGUACCAAAUCAGAAAGCAACGGCUAACUACGUG
rnacentral:rRNA from 1 species